AAGAAUAAGAAUAUGAUGUUGGUUCAGAUUAAGCGCUAAAUAAGGACAUGACACAUGCGAAUCAUACGUUUAUUAUUGAUAAGAUAAUAAAUAUGUGGUGUAAACGUGAGUAAUUUUAUUAGGAAUAAUGAACUAUAGAAUAAGCUAAAUACUUAAUAAAUAUUUAUAUAAAAAUUUUAUUUAUAUAAUAAAAAAGAAUAUAUUAUAUAUAUUUAUCUAUAGUCAAGCCAAUAAUGGUUUAGGUAGUAGGUUUAUUAAGAGUUAAACCUAGCCAACGAUCCAUAAUCGAUAAUGAAAGUUAGAACGAUCACGUUGACUCUGAAAUAUAGUCAAUAUCUAUAAGAUACAGCAGUGAGGAAUAUUGGACAAUGAUCGAAAGAUUGAUCCAGUUACUUAUUAGGAUGAUAUAUAAAUAAUUUAUAAAAAUUUUAUAAAAAAAUAAAUAAAUAAUAUAUAUAUAUAAAUUGAUUAAAAAUAAAAUCCAUAAAUAAUUAAAAUAAUGAUAUUAAUUACCAUAUAUAAUAAUGGAUAUAUAAUAAUUAUAAUAUUUAAUAUAUUAUAAUAUAAUUAUAUAUUUUAAUAGUCCUGACUAAUAUUUGUGCCAGCAGUCGCGGUAACACAAAGAGGGCGAGCGUUAAUCAUAAUGGUUUAAAGGAUCCGUAGAAUGAAUUAAUUAUAUAAUUUAGAGUUAAUAAAUUUAAUUAAAGAAUUAUAAUAGUAAAGAUGAAAUAAUAAUAAUAAUUAUAAGACUAAUAUAUGUGAAAAUAUUAAUUAAAUAUUAACUGACAUUGAGGGAUUAAAACUAGAGUAGCGAAACGGAUUCGAUACCCGUGUAGUUCUAGUAGUAAACUAUGAAUACAAUUAUUUAUAAUAAAAAUAUAUAUAUAAAUAAUAAAUGAAAAUGAAAGUAUUCCACCUGAAGAGUACGUUAGCAAUAAUGAAACUCAAAACAAUAGACGGUUACAGACUUAAGCAGUGGAGCAUGUUAUUUAAUUCGAUAAUCCACGACUAACCUUACCAUAUUUUGAAUAUUAUAAUAAUUAUAAUAAUUAUUAUAUUACAGGCGUUACAUUGUUGUCUUUAGUUCGUGCUGCAAAGUUUUAGAUUAAGUUCAUAAACGAACAAAACUCCAUAUAUAUAAUUUUAAUUAUAUAUAAUUCUAUAUUAUUUAUUAAUAUAAAGAAAGGAAUUAAGACAAAUCAUAAUGAUCCUUAUAAUAUGGGUAAUAGACGUGCUAUAAUAAAAUGAUAAUAAAAUUAUAUAAAAUAUAUAUAAAAUAUAUUUAAUUAAUAAUAUAAAACAUUUUAAUUUUUAAUAUAUUUUUAUAUUAUAUAUUAAUAUGAAUUAUAAUCUGAAAUUCGAUUAUAUGAAAAAAGAAUUGCUAGUAAUACGUAAAUUAGUAUGUUACGGUGAAUAUUCUAACUGUUUCGCACUAAUCACUCAUCACGCGUUGAAACAUAUUAUUAUCUUAUUAUUUAUUAAUAAUUUUUAAUAACCUUUUUAUUAAUUAAUAUUAAUAUAUAUCAGAAAUAAUAUGAAUUAAUGCGAAGUUGAAAUACAGUUACCGUAGGGGAACCUGCGGUGGGCUUAUAAAUAUC
rnacentral:ncRNA from 1 species